AUGCUGGGAAUACCAACUAACACUUGUUACAGAGUGUGCAUGGCGGCUGCUGACAGGCCUUCCCAGUGCCAGCAAGUGGAUACAGAAGCAAUCUCCCAAGCUUUCCAUGACAUUCAAGUGACCAGGCACUUGGACACCCAUCACUGGGGCUGUGUUCCUACCUUAGCCAGUGCCCACAAGCAGCAGCGGUUCCUCUGGCGUUUUGACCCUGAAACAAUGAGCAGAGAAGAGAUGCUGUUUCAAAAUGGGAAAAGCCAGUGGGUAUCUAGGGGAAUUCCGGGCAGAGAUAAAUUGGCCCACAUGACAUCUCAGCGAAAACUCAAGGUCAAAUGAGUCCUUUAAUUCAAGCAUCAGUGGGACUGCGAAGGCUAUGUACAUGUCUGCCAACUAAAGGAUGAACACUUAUAUGUUUAUCUGUGACUUCUAAGUAAAGAAUUCUACUUUGUCCAUUCAUCUAUGGAUGGACAAGUAGGUUGCUUCUAUAUCUUGUCUAUGUAAAUAAUGCUGUCAUGAACAUAUAUCUUUUCUAAUUAGUAUUUUUGUUUCCUUUGGGUAAAUACCCAGAAGAAUUGCUGAGUUGUAUGGUGAUUCUAUUUUUAAUUAUUGAGGAACCUCCAUACUGUUUUCCAUGACGAUCGUACCAAUUUACACCCCCACCGACAUUGCACAUGCUUCCCUCUCCUCCACAUCUUUGCCAACCCUGGUUAUUUGUUGUCUUUUUGAUGACAGUCAUCCUGACAGAUGUGAGGUAGCAUCUCAUUGUGGUUUUGAUUUGCAUGUCCCUGAGGAUGAGUAAUAUUGAGUGUCUUUUCAUAUGUCUGUUGGCCUCUGUAUGUCUUCUUUGGAAAAAUUUAUGUUUGGGCCCUCUGCCCAUUUUUUUUUUCCCUUUUUAUGGCCACACCCGAGGCACAUGGAAAUUCCUGAGCUAGGGUUGAAUUGGAGAUGCAGCUGUGAGCCUACUCCACAGCCACAUCAGCACUGAAUCUGAGCCGCAUCUGUGACCUACCCUGCAGCUUGUAGCAACACUGGAACCUUAACCCACUGAGUGAGGCCAGGGAUUGAACCCGCAUCCUUACAGAGACAGCAUUGAGUCCUUAAUCUGCUGAGCCACAACUGGAACUCUUUCUUAACCCAUUUUUUAAUAGGGUUUUUAUAUUGAGUUUUAUGACCUCUUUGUAUAUUCUGGAUAUUAACACAUUAUGGGAUAUAUCUUUUGCAAAUAUCUCCCUCCAUUUUGUUAAUAGUUCCCUUUGCCAUGUAAAAGCUUUGUGUAUACACACACAAACGCAUACACACAUACACACACACACACACACACACACACACACACACACACAUGCACAGUGGAAUAUUACUUAGCCAUAAAAAUUGAAAUCUUGCCAUUGGGGAAAACAUGGAUGGGUCCAGACGGUAUUAUGCUAAAUGAAAUAAGUCAGACCAAGAGAGACAAAUACCAUACAGUCUCACCUAUAUGAAGAAUCUAAAAAACACAACAGACAAAAUGAAAUAAAAAUGGAUUCAUACAGAUGAGAACAAAUGAAUGGUUGCCAGACGGGAAGGGUGAGGGUGAGCAACAUAAGUGAAGAUGAUGAAGAGAUACAAACCUCCAGUUAUAAAAUAAGUAAGCCACAGGGAUCUAAUAUACAGAGUGAAGAAUAUGGUCAGUAAUGUUGCAAUAACUUUGUAUGGGGCAGGUGGCUCCUAGAUUAUCAUGGUAAUCAUUUCAUAAUGCAUGCAAAUGUCAGAUCACUAAGUAGUACGCCUGAAACUAACAUAAUAUAUAUACCAGCUGUAUUGUGUGUGUGUGUGUGUGUGUCUUUUGUCUUUAUAGGGCCGCACCCAUGGCACAUGGAGGUUCCCAGGCUAGGGGUCUAAUCGGAGCUAUUGCUGCUGGCCUACACAUGAGCCACAGCAAUGCCAGAUCCGAGCCACGUCUGUGACCUACCCCACAGUUCAUGGCAACAUCGGAUCCUUAACCCACUGAGUGAGGCCAGGGAUCGAACCCACAACCUCAUGUUUCCUAGUCGGAUUUGUUUCCACUGCAUCAUGAUGGGAACUCCAGCUUUAUUUUUUAAAAAUACUUGUAUGUCUCUAAGCUGACAUUCAGCAUGGAACAAAGAAGGGAAAAGUUUCAACUGAAGAAGACCAGGAGUCAAGGUAACUUGCUUGAGAUGUGCUUUUAUUGAGAGGGUCUGUCAUGAUGGUCGAAGGGGAGGAUGAGAGUGAGUAUUAUUCUUUAUUUUUAUUUUUUUGGUCUUUUUGCCUUUUCUAGGGCCACUUCCUGUGGCAUUUGGAGGUUCCCAGGCUAGGAGUCGAAUGGGAGCUGUAGCCGGCCCCGGCCUACGCCAGAGCCACAGCAACGCAGGAUCCAAGCUGCAUCUGCAACCUACACCACAGCUCACGGCAAUGCCGGAUCCUUAACCCACUGAGCAAGGCCAGGGAUUGAACCCACAACCUCGUGGUUCUUGGUCGGAUUCAUUAACCACUGCACCACUCCGGGAACUUCUUUUUGUUGUUGUUGUUUGUUUUUUGUUUUUUAGACAAGAAAUAGGUUAAUUAAGACAGGAUGCUUGUGAGAGAUGCAAGUGGGCAGGCAUGGAGGCUCUGCGAGAGUAUUAUUCUUGAAGGAGAACAAUAUUAAAAUUUAAAUCUUCAAUAUUUACCUGCAAAUCUUCUCUAUAGAAAUCAACAAUUUGAAGCACAUUGUAAGCCAUUUGAAUUUAUUUAUUUGACGAGUACUUACUGUCCUAGACUCUUCUCAGCAAUGAGAAAAAUGUCAGCAAAUCAAAUGAGUCCCUCCUCACACGGGGUUGAUGAGCCAGUGGGGAAGGUGGACAAAAGCCUCUAACAAUAUUCUCUGUCUGAGAGUUCCCCUUGUGGCACAGCAGAAACAAAAAUCAUACUAGCAUCCAUGAGGAUGAGGGUUCAAUCCCUGGCCUUGCUCAUUGGGUUGGGGAUCCCAUGUUGCUCUGGCUGUGGUGUAGGCUGGAAGCUGUGGCUCCAGUUUGACCCCCUAGCCUGGGUACUUCCCCACACCACUAAUGCGGCCCUAAAAAGCAAAAAAUC
rnacentral:lncRNA from 9 species